GGUGGCACUGAGGGUCCUGAGGAUGUCCCCGAGGGCUCCAGUGAUGUCCCUGAGGGUACCAAGGACGUCCCUGAGGGUCCCAAGAGCUCCAGUGACAUCCCCGAGGGUCCCGAGAGCUCCAGUGACAUCCCUACAGGUCCCAAGGAUGUCCCCGAGGGUCCCAAGAGCUCCAGCGAUGUCCCCAAGGGUCCCAAGAGCUCCAGUGACGUCCCUGAAGGUCCCAAGGACAUCCCUGAGGGUCCCAAGAGCUCCAGUGACGUCCUUGAGGAUCCCAAGGACGUCCCUGAGGGUCCCAAGAGCUCCGGCGAUGUCCAAGAUGGUUCCAAAGCCCCCACAGGUGUCCCAAAGGGUCCCAAGAGCUCCAAGAACAUCCAGGAGGGUCCUGAGAACUCCGCAAACAUCCCAGAGAGUCCCAGGGACGUCCAGGAGGGUCCCAAGAGCUCCAGGAAUGUCCAGGAGCGUCCCAAGAGCUCCAGAAAUGUCCCCAAGGGUUCCAAGAGCUCCAGGCACGUCCCCAAGGGUUCCAAGAGCCCCAAAGACCCCGAUGGCUCCAAGGACACGGCUCGAGGUCCUGGUGGUCCCAGGAAGGUCGAGGAAGGCACCGACGCCCUUGAGAUCGACCAACAGCCCAACUUCUCGGGGGGGGUUGGAGAAGAACCCGGGGAGGGACGUGGUGACCCCAGGAAGAGAGGGAAUGACUCUAAAGAGGGACAGGGUGACUUUGGGCAACGUGAUGACCCCAAAGAGGGACACGGUGACACCAAAGGUGGACACGACCCCAGAGAUGGACACAGUGACCCCAGAGAGGGGCACAGUGACCCCAGAGAGGGACACAAUGACCCCAGAGAGGGACACAAUGACCCCAGAGAGGGACAUGAUGACCUCAAAGAGCGACACAACCCCAGAGAAGGCCCUGAUGACCCCAAAGGGGGACGUGGUGAUCUCAAAGAGGGACACGACCCCAGAGAAGGACACAGUGACCCCAGAGAGGGACACGAUGACCUUGGACAACGUGACGACCCCAGGAAGAGACGCGAUGACCCCAAAGAUGGACAUGGACGCGAUGACCCCAAAGAGGGACGCAGGGACCCCAGAGAUGGACACAACGACCCCAGAGAAGGACACAACGACCCCAGAGAUGGACACGACCCCAGAGAAGGACACAACGACCC
rnacentral:lncRNA from 1 species